rnacentral:rRNA from 1 species
UUGUGUUUGCACAUACACAGGAGUUGCAUCUAUGUAUUUAUAUUCAUCACGCACAACUGUAUGGCCAGAAUGUUAUAUUUCAUUUUACAACUUUCAGCAACGGAUCUCUUGGCUCUCGCAUCGAUGAAGAACGUAGCGAAUUGCGAUAAGUAAUGUGAAUUGCAGAUUUCCAGUGAAUCAUCGAAUCUUUGAACGCACCUUGCGCUCCUUGGUAUUCCGAGGAGCAUGCCUGUUUGAGUGUCAUUAAUUUCUCAACCAUUCUCUUAUUCAACAGAGUAAGAGUUUGACUUGGACUUUGGGGGUUGCUGGUGGUCUCUAGAGGGACCAUCGGCUCCCCUUAAAUGCAUUAGCAAUGAGUCGCCCUAGUCUUUGAACAUGCACGGCCUUUGAUGUGAUAAUGAUCAUCUGGGCUGGAAGUGGUCUUUCAGACUCUCAUAGCUUCUAACAAUAAAAUAAAAGAUACCUGUGAGAAGGGGUCUGGGACAGGAGUCUAUCUAAAUCUAUCUUUACUUGGCUUUAGUUUGGCUUGGUUACUAGGCAGUCUGAAAGGACUGGCGAACACAAGCAAAAACGAUAAUAAAUCCAAGGUAAUAUAUAGAUAGAGGAUGAAUGGAUAAAGUUCAGAUGAGAGGUUAGCUUUAGUGCUUGGCUUAGUUACUAGGCAGUCUAGAGGGGGUUCUAUAAAUCCCCCCUGGGCUGGGCGAACACAAGCUGGGGGAUAUGGCUAAACCCUCUCCCAACCCCUCUCUGGUAGAUUUUAUUUUCAUUGAUUUUGACCUCAAAUCAGGUAGGACUACCCGCUGAACUUAAGCAUAUCAAUAAGCGGAGGAAAAGAAACUAACAAGGAUUCCCCUAGUAACUGCGAGUGAAGCGGGAAAAGCUCAAAUUUUGAAUCUGGCGGUCUGAUCGGCCGUCCG